GAACGCUAGCUACAGGCUUAACACAUGGCAAGUCGAGGGGCAGCAUGGGAGUAGCUUGCUACUCUUGGAUGGCGACCGGCGCACGGGUGCGUAACACGUAUCCAAUCUACCCAUGGCUCGGGAAUAGCCUUUCGAAAGAAAGAUUAAUGCCCGAUGGUCUGUGAUUGAGACAUCUCGAACACAGUAAAGAUUAAUCGGCGAUGGAUGAGGAUGCGUCUGAUUAGGUAGAUGGCGGGGUAACGGCCCACCAUGCCGACGAUCAGUAGGGGUUCUGAGAGGAAGGUCCCCCACAUUGGAACUGAGACACGGUCCAAACUCCUACGGGAGGCAGCAGUGAGGAAUAUUGGUCAAUGGUCGAGAGACUGAACCAGCCAAGUAGCGUGAAGGAUGACUGCCCUAUGGGUUGUAAACUUCUUUUGUUUGGGAAUAAAGUGGGCCACGUGUGGCCUUUUGUAUGUACCAUACGAAUAAGCAUCGGCUAAUUCCGUGCC
rnacentral:rRNA from 1 species